AACGCGAAGAACCUUACCAAGGUUUGACAUGCAGGGAAAAGCCGUAGAGAUAUGGUGUCCGUAAGGGUCCUGCACAGGUGGUGCAUGGCUGUCGUCAGCUCGUGUCGUGAGAUGUUGGGUUAAGUCCCGCAACGAGCGCAACCCUCGUCCUAUGUUGCCAGCGGGUAAUGCCGGGGACUCAUAGGAGACUGCCGGGGUCAACUCGGAGGAAGGUGGGGAUGACGUCAAGUCCUCAUGCCCCUUAUGUCUUGGGCUGCAAACAUGCUACAAUGGCCGGUACAAAGGGUUGCAAGACCGCAAGGUGGAGCGAAUCCCAAAAAGCCGGUCUCAGUUCGGAUUGGGGUCUGCAACUCGACCCCAUGAAGUCGGAGUCGCUAGUAAUCGCGAAUCAGCAACGUCGCGGUGAAUACGUUCCCGGGCCUUGUA
rnacentral:rRNA from 1 species